CGGCGGACGGGUGAGUAACGCGUGGGUAAUCUACCUCGUAGUUCGGGAUAACAGGCCGAAAGGCUUGCUAAUACCGGAUGAGUUCAUGCUUAUGCAUAUAGGCAUGAAGAAAGGGCUAGCCCGCUAUGAGAUGAGCCCGCGUCCCAUUAGCUUGUUGGUGGGGUAACGGCCUACCAAGGCAACGAUGGGUAGCCGGCCUGAGAGGGUGUACGGCCACACUGGGACUGAGACACGGCCCAGACUCCUACGGGGGGCAGCAGUAGGGAAUUUUCGGCAAUGGGCGAAAGCCUGACCGAGCGACGCCGCGUGAGGGACGAAGGCCUUCGGGUUGUAAACCUCUGUCUGGGGGGAUGAGAACGGACGGUACCCCCGGAGGAAGCCCCGGCUAACUACGUGCCAGCAGCCGCGGUAAUACGUAGGGGGCUAGCGUUGUCCGGAAUUACUGGGCGUA
rnacentral:rRNA from 1 species